AGACCCGAAACCCGGUGAUCUAGCCAUGGGCAGGUUGAAGGUUGGGUAACACUAACUGGAGGACCGAACCGACUAAUGUUGAAAAAUUAGCGGAUGACCUGUGGCUGGGGGUGAAAGGCCAAUCAAACCGGGAGAUAGCUGGUUCUCCCCGAAAGCUAUUUAGGUAGCGCCUCGUGAAUUCAUCUCCGGGGGUAGAGCACUGUUUCGGCUAGGGGGCCAUCCCGGCUUACCAACCCGAUGCAAACUGCGAAUACCGGAGAAUGUUAUCACGGGAGACACACGGCGGGUGCUAACGUCCGUCGUGAAGAGGGAAACAACCCAGACCGCCAGCUAAGGUCCCAAAGUCAUGGUUAAGUGGGAAACGAUGUGGGAAGGCCCAGACAGCCAGGAUGUUGGCUUAGAAGCAGCCAUCAUUUAAAGAAAGCGUAAUAGCUCACUGGUCGAGUCGGCCUGCGCGGAAGAUGUAACGGGGCUAAACCAUGCACCGAAGCUGCGGCAGCGACACUAUGUGUUGUUGGGUAGGGGAGCGUUCUGUAAGCCUGUGAAGGUGUGCUGUGAGGCAUGCUGGAGGUAUCAGAAGUGCGAAUGCUGACAUAAGUAACGAUAAAGCGGGUGAAAAGCCCGCUCGCCGGAAGACCAAGGGUUCCUGUCCAACGUUAAUCGGGGCAGGGUGAGUCGACCCCUAAGGCGAGGCCGAAAGGCGUAGUCGAUGGGAAACGGGUUAAUAUUCCCGUACUUGGUGUUACUGCGAAGGGGGGACGGAGAAGGCUAUGUUGGCCGGGCGACGGUUGUCCCGGUUUAAGCGUGUAGGUGUGUGUUCCAGGUAAAUCCGGUUCACUUUAACACUGAGGCGUGAUGACGAGGCACUACGGUGCUGAAGCAACAAAUGCCCUGCUUCCAGGAAAAGCCUCUAAGCAUCAGGUAACAUCAAAUCGUACCCCAAACCGACACAGGUGGUCAGGUAGAGAAUACCAAGGCGCUUGAGAGAACUCGGGUGAAGGAACUAGGCAAAAUGGUGCCGUAACUUCGGGAGAAGGCACGCUGACACGUAGGUGAAGUGAUU
rnacentral:rRNA from 1 species